ensembl:lncRNA
UGCUCUGCGGCUCGGCGCCGCCCGACGGCCCCUAUUUAUCGUCGGGGAGGGCGGGCGGCCGCAGCCGCCAGGCGGGGACGGGGAGGGACGCGGCGCUGAAGGACGGCCCCGCUUGGUUCGGGCGGCUCUGCAGGGGGUUGGAGGCGAGGGGGCUGCGGUCGGGGCUUCCCGCUGCUCGUUUGUCCCUUCUCGGGUGGGUCUGUGGGAGGCAGGGUGCUCUCGGGUCUGUGUUGCCUCACGACUCCUUCAGGAUUAGCCUUAGGGUGCUGCGCGGCGCCAUUUUGUGCCUGGUGGCCCCCUCCUGCCCAAGCCUCCCUGAGGGAGGUGGUAUGGAGGUUGUCGGAAACCCCUGUCAUAGCCAGGGCCUGGGGAAGGCUCGGGUUAUCAGUGGGGCUGGGGCGUUUGCAACACUCACCUGUACCUCAGAAAGCUUAGAAUACAUGUCUAAACAGCGUGGUUUUUUUCCCCAUCUCGUUUGCAGUUGUCACAAGGUGUGUGUGCUCUUCAAGCUCCUGCUGUGCUCACUAGAGAGAGCAAAUGAGUGCAAAACCCCUCCUUCUCCUCCAGUAGCGUGUGCCAGGAAGAUGGGAAAGCAUGUCUGCAGACAGCCCUGCAAUGUUGAAUUUCAGUGUUAGUCAGAGCCUUCGCCAAGCGCUGCAUUCAAGGCAGUGUUUGUGGACACCGAGUGCUUCUCCCACUGAGCCCAGAUUGCAGGAACGGAGAGCACGUCCCCCGUGGGAGUGGGAAGAGCCCAGUCUCCAACUCCGGUCUGCAUGGAGGGGGAUUAAGUUCUCCGCCUGCAACCAGCCUUGCACACAGAGCAACUGUGGGGUGACAAAGGAAGCUUGCGACUCCUUUCCCACCUGCACCUUUAGGUGCCUCCUGCUGGAGAGCAGCGAUCUCAAAAUGCAUUAUGAAUACUAAUCAGGUUAACUUCAGAUUCUUCAAAUGUUGGCUUCCACGAUCAUUCCAACCACAGCGGUUUUCAAGAUCGAGCACUUACCAGUUGCAUUGCUGGACCAGUACUGCAGCUAAGAUGAUAGGUAAGUGCUAUAGCUUUGUUUUUCUUGGUAGCAUACUGUGAAUUAUUUAUGCCAUCUCUUUGUUGUCCUGGUGGCUUGGAUGAAGGGAGAAAAAUGCAUGAGUGUGCGGCUUCAUUUAUAGACCACAUUAACAUCAGGUACAAAACAGAUGCAUCGGCAGGUAGUAGAAUCGGUUGCAAGCUGUUGUAAGGAUGUGCCGUGCACCUACGUGGACAUCAUGUGUUAGCUGAAAUUGCAGCACCAAGAAAUUUGCUAGAGCUCGUCAUAGUGGAUCUGUUGGGUAUAACAGGUAUAUUUUAGUCUUGUUUCGCUGUGUAUCUGGUGUUAUAUUGGCAGAAUAGCUUGGAUAAACUAUCAUGUACAUACUGGUUUAAAUAGAUGUAAGCACGAGCCUCACUUUAAAAAAUAUAAAGCUUUAAUUGAACACUUUUCAGUGUGUGAACCAUCUGGCUCCUGUUUCUGUAGUCUCAGAACUGCACAGAAUCUUAGUACAUGUAUCCUCAUCACCUCUCUGUAAGGUGAUGGCACCCCAUUAUCCUUGUCCAGCACGUGGGAAUUGCACUCAUAAAUACCCUGGACUAUCAAAGAGUUAAUUAUCUAACAUGCUUUUGUGCAUUUCUGUGAUUUCCACAAAGCACAUUUUAGCAAUUUUGUAGUCCUAAAGAUCUUUGUAGUCAUGGCUGUGAUUUUCUGAGAAAGUUCCUGGGAGAGUGGAAAGGUGAAUUUAGUUGUCUGGAGUUUUACGUCAACAUUGUUGCCCCUGAAAUACCUUGUUCUUGUGAUCUGUAACUGUUGGUUCUUAAAAAAAUAAAUAGAGAGAUGUUGAAUGGGUACA